rnacentral:rRNA from 1 species
AGAGUUUGAUCCUGGCUCAGGAUGAACGCUGGCGGCGUGCCUAACACAUGCAAGUCGAGCGAUUUACUUCGGUAAAGAGCGGCGGACGGGUGAGUAACGCGUGGGUAACCUGCCCUAUACACACGGAUAACAUACCGAAAGGUAUGCUAAUACGAGAUAAUAUAAGAGAUUCACAUGGAUUUCUUAUCAAAGCUGAGGCGGUAUAGGAUGGACCCGCGUCUGAUUAGCUAGUUGGUAAGGUAACGGCUUACCAAGGCGACGAUCAGUAGCCGACCUGAGAGGGUGAUCGGCCACAUUGGAACUGAGACACGGUCCAAACUCCUACGGGAGGCAGCAGUGGGGAAUAUUGCACAAUGGGCGAAAGCCUGAUGCAGCAACGCCGCGUGAGUGAUGAAGGCCUUCGGGUCGUAAAACUCUGUCCUCAAGGAAGAUAAUGACGGUACUUGAGGAGGAAGCCCCGGCUAACUACGUGCCAGCAGCCGCGGUAAUACGUAGGGGGCUAGCGUUAUCCGGAUUUACUGGGCGUAAAGGGUGCGUAGGUGGUCUCUUAAGUCAGGAGUGAAAGGCUACGGCUUAACCGUAGUAAGCUCUUGAAACUGGGAGACUUGAGUGCAGGAGAGGAAAGUGGAAUUCCUAGUGUAGCGGUGAAAUGCGUAGAUAUUAGGAGGAACACCAGUAGCGAAGGCGGCUUUCUGGACUGUAACUGACACUGAGGCACGAAAGCGUGGGGAGCAAACAGGAUUAGAUACCCUGGUAGUCCACGCCGUAAACGAUGAGUACUAGGUGUCGGGGGUUACCCCCCUCGGUGCCGCAGCUAACGCAUUAAGUACUCCGCCUGGGGAGUACGCUCGCAAGAGUGAAACUCAAAGGAAUUGACGG